GUAGUAGCAAAUACUCUAGCGAGGCCCUGGAGGGCUGAGGCGGAGAAGGGUUUCGUGUGAACAGCCGUUGCACACGAGUCAGUCGAUCCUAAGCCCUAGGCGAGAGCCGAUGCAUCGGGCCCGCGGGCCGGUCGGGCGAAAGGGAAUCCGGUCCCCAUUCCGGAACCCGGUCGCGGAACCGUCCUACGUCGGGCCCUCCGGCGGGAAAAAGCUCGUCGGGGCGACCCGAAAAGACCCGGAGAAGCCGUCGGGAGGUCGGGGAAGAGUUUUCUUUUCUGUUUGAGCGUUCGAGUUCCCUGGAAUUGCCUAGCGCAGAGAGAGGGAAUGGUUCGCGUAGAGCACCGCAGUUGCGGCGGUGUCCCGACACGCCCCUCGGACCUUGAAAAUCCGGGAGCGGGCCACGUGGACUUCGCGCCGGUUCGUACCCAUAUCCGCAGCAGGUCUCCAAGGUGAAGAGCCUCUAGUCGAUGGAACAAUGUAGGUAAGGGAAGUCGGCAAAUUGGAUCCGUAACUUCGGGACAAGGAU
rnacentral:rRNA from 1 species